rnacentral:pre_miRNA from 1 species
GCAGCUGUAAUUAGUCAGUUUUCUGUCCUGUCCACACAGAAAACUGUAAUUACAGUUGU